rnacentral:tRNA from 1 species
AAAGUUUUAGUAUAAAAUUUAUGAGUAUGGUUUAUUGUCAAUAAACGGGUUAAAACUUUG